AAAUGGAUGGAUGAUAUUCAAAAGCAAUACACUGUUUUUUCUCUUAUGUUUAAAUGACUUUAGGAUCUUAAUCCUUGACCAAGCCUUAAUUUUCUACCAAACAAUGCCAAAACCUCCUCAGAAAUAACCACUUCUGCUACACAGGCACAGUAUACGAGCAAAUCUAAUAAGAGCCUGCUCUCUCUCUCUCUCUCUCUCGAUGGAAAAUAUAUCCGAAGCAUCGCCGUCAGUGGACUCAUCAUCAACAGGAAGUUCUUCAUUGGCAUGUCCAAGUAUUCAAAUGGUUUCGAAAUCAGACUCGGAGAGGCUUCUUGGCAAGUACUUUGAUGCGUCCCAAUAUGGUUUUGAUUAUGAGCAAAGUAGUCUGUGGUCUCCACUAAUACCAGCUCGAAGGGUUUUUUUGGCUUCACCAGCAGGGCAUAGAUGCUACGAAGAUGAGUUUUUCUCAAAGCUUAAGAAAGCAAAGAGGGAGUGUAGAAGGCGCAUUGCUUGUUUCAAUCACACCUUUUGGCGCACUUCAAGACGACAACCUUAACUGGUGCCAUCCCCGCCUUAAUUUCUUUUCCAAAGGCAUGUUUUAUCUCAAAUCCCCAUCCCCAAGGUGCAUUGGGAAGCUUUUGUCAAAAAGGUUCGAUUCACAAAUGAAUCCCAAGUAUUUGUGUUUAGCUACGAUACAUGCACAAACCUCUGUAUUUUUAUGAAACAUAUGGCUACAUGUAACCUUGUGCUAUCUACUUUUUCA